AGUUUGAUCCUGGCUCAGGAUGAACGCUGGCGGCGUGCCUAAUACAUGCAAGUCGAGCGAACAGACGAGGAGCUUGCUCCUCUGACGUUAGCGGCGGAGGGGGGAGUAACACGUGGGUAACCUACCUAUAAGACUGGGAUAACUUCGGGAAACCGGAGCUAAUACCGGAUAAUAUUUCGAACCGCAUGGUUCGAUAGUGAAAGAUGGCCUUGCUAUCACUUAUAGAUGGACCUGCGCCGUAUUAGCUAGUUGGUAAGGUAACGGCUUACCAAGGCAACGAUACGUAGCCGACCUGAGAGGGUGAUCGGCCACACUGGAACUGAGACACGGUCCAGACUCCUACGGGAGGCAGCAGUAGGGAAUCUUCCGCAAUGGGCGAAAGCCUGACGGAGCAACGCCGCGUGAGUGAUGAAGGUCUUCGGAUCGUAAAACUCUGUUAUUAGGGAAGAACAAACGUGUAAGUAACUGUGCACGUCUUGACGGUACCUAAUCAGAAAGCCACGGGUAACUACGUGCCAGCAGCCGCGGUAAUACGUAGGUGGCAAGCGUUAUCCGGAAUUAUUGGGCGUAAAGCGCGCGUAGGCGGUUUUUUAAAUCUGAUGUGAAAGCCCACGGCUCAACCGUGGAGGGUCAUUGGAAACUGGAAAACUUGAGUGCAGAAGAGGAAAGUGUAAUUCCAUAGUGUAGCGGGUGAAAUGCGCAGAGAUAUGGGAGGAACACCAGUGGCGAACGCGACUUUCUGGUCUGGUAACUGACGCUGAUGUGCGAAAG
rnacentral:rRNA from 1 species